GCUGAGAUGUCCGAGCGGUCUAAGGAGCUGGAUUCAAGUGUUAUACUUGCAUGUUAUACGUGUGCAUCCCAGUAGAGAAAUCUGCGGGGGUUCGAAUCCCCCUCUCAGCA
rfam:Puccinia graminis f. sp. tritici CRL 75-36-700-3 supercont2.14 genomic scaffold, whole genome shotgun sequence.